UUCUUUUGUUUUUUAUUUAAAAAGAAAAAAAAAAAAGAAAAAAGAAAGCUGAAUUAAUUUCAGGAACUUUAGAAACUAGAGAAAAAUACAAUACUUGUAUUUUUUCAAUUGAGAGGUAUUGAUAAUAUUAGGGUAGAGGUAGGGAUCAUGAUAGGGUUUUGCUAUAGUCCAGGCUGGCCCCCAGCUCAAAGCACUCCUUUCAGCCUCUGCUGCUGGGAUUAUAGGUGUGUGUCAAAUGUGUAGCUUGGAAGCAUUUUUCUUAAUGUUCUUGAAAGUUAAAUUCACAUUUAAAGGGAAAAAGUAGAUUUACUUCUUUAAAAGACAUAUGCCCUGGGUUGAAGAGAUGGCUCAGCAGCUAAGAGUCCUGACUACUUUUCCAGAGGUCCUGAGUUCUCAGCAACCACAUGGUGGCUUACAACCAUCUGUAGUAGUAUCUCAUGUCCUCUUCUGGUGUGUCUGAAGACAGUGACAGUAUACUCAUAU
rnacentral:lncRNA from 1 species